rnacentral:tRNA from 1 species
CCUUUGGUAGUGUAUCGGCUAGUACACGCGCCUGUCAAGCGCGAAAACUGGGUUCGACUCCUAGCCAGAGAG